GUCUCACUUCUCCAAGCGGAAACGACGCAGAAAAAUUGUUGGUGCUGGUAACGUGGAUGCUGCGGAGAUGUCGGUGUGCUGCAAUCAUCGGUCGGCGUGGCCCGUCAACUUUGGUGCACGCACAAACUUUUGUGGAGGAAAAGGUGUGCCGCAGACAGCGUCAUCUAUAGGCUUAGGUUUGUCUGUGUGUAUACGUCCAUUUCAACUGGGCAGAAAUUGCCAUUAGGAGACUGCAGACAAACAUUUCCUGCUGCUGCCGCCACUGUUGCUGCCGUCUAUAUCUGCGCAUCCAUAGUCCGCUGCCGUUGCUGCUAUCCUGGCACAGGUCAGGUGGGCAGUAUAGGGCCGAUUCCAUCUUGUGGCCAUCCACAGGGCAGAUAAUCGUUAUGAUUUCCAACGUGUAGGCCCCGUAACUGGCCAGGGACCAGGCGAGAAAUACGGGCUUCGGAAAGUGCCAAUUGGAUUAUGCGGUGGGUCAUUUCCUGCUACUGCUGCCGCUGUUGUUGUUGUUGCUGCUGCUGGGUGAAAUCGGCCGCCAAUUUAGGUAUAUAAAGAACAGCCAGGGCCAACAUGAGUCGAGUCCUAGGAUGCAUGCAAUUUGGCUAUUGCGGCAAUGAGAUCUCUUUGCUGCUGCCACCACCGCUGCUAGCGCUGAUGCUGGUGGUUGUGUCGCCGCCUAAUAGAUCUGCAUAAAUGAGGGCUGUUACCAGUACGACCGCUCGCACCCAAGAGACGCCUCUGUUGCUGCUGCUGUUUUGAGAGAUGCAUGCGCCGCCGUUUCUAUCAGAAAGUUGCCGGGCUUCUGUUGUUGCUGUUUCUGGUCUUGAUGCUGCUGUUGCUGUUGCCGCUGACAUGGGAGGAAACGCU